rnacentral:rRNA from 1 species
UACGUAGGGGGGCAAGCGUUGUUCGGAUUCAUUGGGCGUAAAGGGUGCGUAGGUGGCGCGCUAAGUCAGGUGUGAAAUUUCGGAGCUUAACUCCGAAACUGCAUUUGAUACUGGCGUGCUUGAGGACUGGAGAGGAGACUGGAAUUCAUGGUGUAGCAGUGAAAUGCGUAGAGAUCAUGAGGAAGACCAGUGGCGAAGGCGGGUCUCUGGACAGUUCCUGACACUGAGGCACGAAGGCCAGGGGAGCAAACGGG